CCUCCGGUCGUUUCCUUCCGAAAAAACAUGGUGCCGCUGCCCGUCUCCGGCCCUCAUCCGCGCCUCCGCUCCGUCCCGGCGCGCUGGCACUCCCCAUCCUUGGCUGCCGUCCGCGCCACCGCUGCUCCGUCUCCGGUCGGCGCGCGCUGCUCCGUCCCCGGCCGCCACGCCGUCCGCGCGCCGCUGCGCCGUCCCUGGCCGCCACGCCGUCCGCAGGCUGCCGGCGGCUCCGAUCUGUAAGUCCCCUCCCCCGACCUCGACGCACCACCGCUCGCCGCCGGCCGCCACCACAGGUGAGCUCCUUGAGAUCCAUGGAAGCAUCAUGUGUCUGCCAUUCUCAUGUGUCUGCCGGUCAAUGCAUCCUACUCCACUACGCGCCCGGCCGUCGCACGUUCGCCUCGGCUUCCUCCCCUACCCAUCCACGCACCCGGCUGAGCCACGGGGUCUUCCGGCUCCCAGCGCCGCCUCUACCCGCCCACGCGCCCCUGCCUCACGACCUCCUCUCCUCCACACUCCAGCCCCACGCCGACCACGGUUCCUUUCUGGAACCCGGCACCAACGGCCCACCCCUGCGCCGCCUCUCCCCGCUCCCGCUCGCGCGUUUCCCCCAGGCACGGACCGUGGGGCAGCGGGUCUCCAGAUCCGGGCCGCAGCCCUCCCUCGUCGCCUGACGUGCUGCCGGUCCGCACCGCCGUCGCCACACUCGGCCUCUCUGCCGCUCCCCGAUGCCCUGCCUUCGCCGUCCGCCGUCCGCGGGCGGCUCUCUCGCCGGCCGCUCACACCACUCGCGAGCACGAGAACCUCUGGGAUCCUCGACCCUCGCGGGCUCCCCGCUCCGCUGAAGAAAUCGAAGGCGAGUAGGAGCAAGAAGAAGCUCAAAACCAACGUCGCCACUUCUGGAACCAUCGGCGGCCUAUGAUGACGCUGACGGCUUCCUGCCGGCUCAUGCUGCACGCAGCGGCGAUGGGAUGUGUUGUUUGACAGUUUGAGCUCCCCUCCCACCCAAACCACAGCGACUGGUUCCUUUUCCCUUCCGCGCUCGUCGAGCAUGCCCACCGCAACGGGGUAAGUGAAUUUCUCCUCUGGCCUUUAAUCCGUUUGCCCGCUAGAUGUUCAAGGAAAUGCUCGGUGUUGUUAAUAGGGUUCACAGAUUGCUACAAGGAUGGGAAGGUAUCUCUUUCACCACGUGGGAUGGCUACAAGGAUUACCCUACAGUGCCAGAUGACUCUAAUAGGGUUCAGGAUUAAUAGGGUUCACAGAUUUCAGAACCUGACAUAAGACACAAAACUGGUUGGUCCUUAUUAAUGGUUUUUGAAACUGUGGAAAAUGCAUGUUUUCCCUUGUUGCUUAAACUUGUAAAAUACAGGGAAGAAAAAUACGAUAAUGGAGCAACAAAACAACUUGAAACAGCAUGCUUCCCUUUGUCCUUUGAUGUUGAAUUACAAAAAAGGUUUAUGUCACUCACCUGCAAUAGCUGAAAAGAUGAGUUAAGGAUAAUGAGUUGAUGGCUACUGGAUGAUACUGCCAGUCUCUAUCACAUUGCUUAAACAUUCGUGUUUUUUCUCCGCAUUCCUUCAUUUUCGUUUUGCUCUAUAAAUAUCUGACUCUGCUCUGUUGCUACAGAAUCAUUCGUUAUAUCAUUCAGAAUUAUUUAUUGCAAGUAAACAUAAAUAAGAUGUUUUGAGCAUUCAUAUGAUAUGAUUCUGUAAUUGUUUUCAUAAUGGAGUCCAGCUUUUAAAGUUUUAGUAUUUUAGGGGCUGGAUCACUGAACAAUAAGGAACCAAUUUUUCCAUACCAUUCUUUCUACUUGUCAUUCAGAAUACUUGCAUCUAUGGUUUACAUGCUGAACUUCUGUGGAAUAGCUAGCUAAUGAUAUAAUUUUUGAAGAGUAGUUCUUUAUGAUUGUAUUUAGGAGUUAACACUCAGUUAUAAAUUCUUAUUACUUUCUGCAGGUUUUCUGUUUGGUUGCAAUGGAAAAGCCUGUGUCCCUUAAGCCUGAGCACAUCAGAAAUGAGAAAAGUCAAAGGUUCUGCAAUCCGUGAACCCUAUUAAUCCUGAAGAGGUGUUAGUCUACAAGGAUCACUGUAAGGUGAAAGUUCUCGCCCUUGGGCCGAUUGGAAGACGGCCGCCCGUUUCGGCCUCCCUUGGAUCAGCGUGCUUACAUGGAAAAUGGUCCGGAGAUCACAUCUCCCAACGUGGAGCGCCGUCCCUCCGCCAGAUUGCCUCAACCAGCCUAGGUAUGUUGCACACCAGCUGCUCGAUCGAUGUCAAAUCCAAUGUUGGAUCAUCACUAGACUUCAUGUUUACAGUAAUGGUGUUGCCUGCUUUCUUUGUCUUCAGUCCAUGUCUCCAUCCGUUCCUUUUCUCUCUACAAUGCCCGAUUUUUCUCUCUACAAUGCCUAAAUAUGCACAUGCCAAAGAGCAUCUCCAGUAAAUACCCUAUCUGAGUCCCUACUUUUAAAAUAGGGGCUGGAGGGUAAAAAACUUACUCCAACAGAGCCCCUACUUGAGUCCCUAGAGUAGGGAGGCACCCAAAUUACCCCUAAAAACCCCAACUCCCACGGGUCCCUAGGGAGGCCCCUACUCCCUGUCCUCCCCUUCUCCGCUCACCCGCUCGCGUCUCCUUCCAUGUUGCGCUGCACCGUCGCCACCGCUCGACCGCGCCGCACCGUCGCUGGCGCGACCUCACCUUGCCGCACCACCGCUGGCCUGAACGCGCUGCGCCGUUGCCGAUGCGACCUCGCCUCGCCGCGCCACGCUAGCGCCAGCCUGACCGCGCAGCGCCGCCAGCUCGCCUCCCGGCACUCCGCCACGACACCACACGCGCCAGCACUCGCCCGACCGCCCGCACGCGGAGCAACUUGCUCCUUCGCUUCGCUGACGGGCCCCUACUCCUGCGCGCCGCCGCACUGGCCGCCGCCCGUGCUUCUUCUCCAUGCCGUGGCAGUGGGAUGGGGCCGAGGAGGAUGUGGUCGGAUUGCGGCCGACGCAGGUGGAGCCGGAGUCGGAGCUCUUCCCGGCUCCCUUGCCCAGAGAUGCGCCUCCCCCGUCGGACAGGGAGGGAGCUCUGCCGCCACUCCCGUGUGUGGAGCUCUGCCGGCGCCGCGCGGCUCCCUGCCCCCACCGGGAGCUCCGACGCUGCCUCUCCAGCUUCCUCUCCAAGGAGUUCAUCGAAUUUGGUGGAGCUCUAGGCCAAGAACAAGAAGAGAGCAGUGCGGGAGAUCUCGUGCAGGAAAAAGGAGAGAGAGAGCCAAAUUUUGUAUGAUUAAAAGAAAAGAGCCGCAGGCUCGUGUCGUAGCGCCUCCCCUGCUUGUCCGUGCCGCCGCCGCCGGCUCCUUGCAGUUCGAGCUCAGGUCGCAAGCUCGCCGAGGGACUCGGCCGCAAGCUCGCCCCUUUCCUCUUGAUCUUCCGAGACGGAUGCAGAGCCAGGGUGGGGGACUGCUGUGAGAGCUCGAGCGCCACAGGCUGCAGAUGCGGACCAGCACCCCGCGCUGCACCACCCCAGCCUGCAGCUGCGGUGGAGAGAGGAGAGGAAGGAGGAAGGAGGAAGGUGCUGCGAAGGAGUGGGGAAGGAGAGAGAAGAGGAGGAAAUAAUGAAAAAAAUGUAAGUGAGACUGGGACCCCAUGUGCCAAAUAGAAGUAGGGGCUGGAUAGUAGGGGUUGUUGCUGGAGUCGAUGGUAAUUGUCACAGCUCCAAAAAGUUGGGACAGUCUCUACUCAAGAAAGUAGGGACCUUGAGUAGGGGCUGUUGCUGGAGAUGCUCUAAUGGCCAAUACUGUUUGUAUACUAUAAAAGUAGCCGACUGAUUUACAACAUUAGGAGUCUGAACCAAAAAUAAUGCGGUGAAUAAUUUUAUAUAGGCUAUUUUGUUACAUUCAUGGUGAUCUCAGGCUGAACCAGCACCCGGGCACCAACGCCCGCCGCCGCCGCCGCCACCGUCUCCCUCAUCUCCCUCAGCACCCGCGGCCCCAACUCCCACCGCUAGAAGGGGAGGGGAGGGCCAAGAUCCAUGGCGCCACCGGAUCUGCGCCAUCCACGGUGAGGCCACCUCCCUACCCCCUUCCCCUCGACGGAAGCCACCCUGGCGCCACCGCACACCAGCACGCCACCCGCCACUCCGAUGCCGGCGUCCAACAGCAAGGCGCCGCCCUCCCCGGCGCUGGUGUCCACACCCCCCCCCCCCCGCUUCCUGCUCCCCGCCUCUCGCACUCUCCCCGGAGGCGGCCCCCUUCUACCCGGUCACCGGGCAUCCAAAGGAGCGGUGCUGGAAGGACAUCUCCCUCGGGACAGCGCCCGCCGCGACGCACGGCCCUUGGGGUGCCGGCUUGGGAUGGUGUUGCGACCGGCGUAGCCAUGCGGGGCCGCGGCUCGCGACCGGCGCGGCGGCCACGGUUGCUCCCCGAGAACGUGCCCCAGGUCAUGCCCCCCAACCGCGUCCCCAUCACAAUCAUCGACACAUUGCCGAGAAGGCGGCGUAGCGCCAGCAGCACCAGCAGCCGGCGGCGUCCGAGGGCGAGGAGGCCGACCCCUUCGUGGCGAACUACGGCGAUGUCCCCGACGAGAAGGUCCAGUCCAAGGCCGUCUCGGGCCACUCGUGGACCAAUGUCGGCGACCUCAGCACCGCCGCCAUCGGUCGCUCCAUGCUGCUCCGCGGGUCUGCCAGCUCGGUCGCCUCCCACGGCAGCAGGCUGGCCUUCCUCGUGCUGCGCCAGGGCAUGGACACCGUGCAGUGCGUAUUCCACGCCGGCGGAGACAGCCCUGGCAUCAGCCCGGGGAUGGUGCUCUUCACCGCCGCCCUCGCCGCGGAGUCUGUCAUCGAUGUCGAGGGCAUCGUCGCCGUGCCCCGCACCCCGGUGCUCUGGGCCACCGCCCGGCACGUCGAGGUCCGCGUCAGGAAGAUCCGCUGGGUCGCCAGGCGGGUUAGCCCGGGCCUCCCGUUCAGCCUCAACGACGCGGCGGCGGAGGAGGAGGAGGAGGAGGAGGAGCUCGAGGGCUAGGGAGCCGGAAGACCCCGCGUUAGCCAGGACACUCUUUCAACCACAGGGUGCUCGACCUGCGAACGCCCGCGAGCCAGGCGAUAAUCCGGAUUGAGGGCCAAGUUGAGAACGUGAGUGAACUUUAAUUUGAUGAUAGUUUUUCUGCAGAUUCUGAUCUGAUCUGCGAUAACUUGAUGAAAUGCUUAUGCAUCUUUCAUCAAUCAUCAUUCACCACGUAUGCUCUGAUCUGUAGUUCAUCGAGCACUUUGCACUUGAACUGUAAAAGAGAGCCUGCCAGUUUGCAGCUUAUAUAUAAGUUAUAAGAACCAUUGUCUUGGAUGUAUACACAUGAUCUUACUGUCAGGCAUUGAGAUUUUUUCUUGUUUUUUUAUUUCUUCACCAUUCAGUGUUACUUCUGUUUUGGUUGUAGAUUGUUUUCUCUUUCCUUUACUGCAUUUAUUUGCCACUUAAUUACAAAGCCUAAAGUAGAAGAUACACUGUAAGGCAUCCUAAAUAUGCACAUUUAAUUUCUUCUAUGGAGCAGACAAUGAUGUUCUUUGACUUCAAUGAGAUUUUCAUAUUUAAUGUGGAAAAUAUGAAAAGAGAAAAAAAACUGUAUUGUAUCACAUGAUAGUUUUUAUUUGCGACUUGGGAGCCAAGCAUUUGUCUCAGUAAUUCUUUUUUGUCAUUACAAUAGUAUGGAAAAUCUGUUUUUUUUGCCAUAAAUUCAUUAUCUUAUUGGCUCAAUAUAAGAUGUAUGAUAUUUUUCCUUUACUGCAAUCAUUCUAUCUCAUACCAUUGUAGCACAAUCAGGUACUCAGGUUCCAUGUUCACUUCUCAAGGAUCAGGUUCCCUGUACGCUUUUUCAGGUUCAAUUGCUUCAUUGCUUGUGAAAUGCAAUACUUGAUGGGAUAUUGGGAUGGGGUAAUUAAUGUUGUGAAGUAGGUAUUCAUAUGGAAGAGCUGCGUAAAGGCAUGGAAGCAAAUGCUAUUUAGUCAUUCCAUGCAACUCCUAGCUUUAUGGUUUUGAGCAUGUGCAAUGUUGAUGAUAGUGAGUUUAGAAUUUUUUUUUUACUUUUGAUGACUAGCAGGAAUUUAAUUAACCUAAAAUCUUGAAUUAGUCCUUUCCUGAACGCAUUGAGAUCUAUUAGUGGUGACAUAAAACGCUAAGUUUCUACUCCAUUUAUCUAUGUGUACCACUUCCUUUUGGACCUUUGGUUCUACAAAUGGACAUAAUGUCAUUGCAAUGUAUAAUAACUUCAUUUGUCUGUGAAUUCUCUUUGUGCUUAUGUUGCUUUCCUGACAAGCAAUGUUGUUUCAAAUUGUUCUGUGGUCAUUUAACACGCAAAGCUAGGAAACAUAUUUCAUUUGUUUAUGUGAUGUACUUACAAAGCUGCAGAGUAUUGCUUAAUUUGAUUACCUGACAUUCAAUUAGUUGCAAAUCUUCUAUCUAAUAAAGUUCUUAUUAUAUUUAGAAAAAAAUUCUUGUCUCCAUUUUGCUAUCAUGCAUGUUGGAAUUAUGCAGCACUGCUCAGUAUACCUCCCUCUCUGCUGCUACCUCUGCGUACGCCGCCGCCGUGCUGCUUUGGGUUCUUCUCCCGCCCCCACCACCAGUACUCUUUCUCCCUUCUAUCCCCUGUUUUCUUUUCGAGUUUUCUUUUGCUCUUUUCCCUUUUUUUGAUUCGUGGCGCCCAGCCAUGGAGCAGGAGAAUGAAGGAGGAAGACUGUCACGUAUUACAUCAGAGAGGCAUACCAGAUGUAAUUACAGUAUGGUUUUCUCCCAUGUCUCCAAGUUGGCAGUGAUCAGAGGCCGAUCUAUCUCACUAUGGAGGUUUGCAAGAUAGUUCCUGGACAGCAGUACAGGAAGAAGCUGGAAAGCCAACAGGUGUCUAAGCUAAUGGACUCAACAUGCCAGCAUCCAUCUGCCUGUGAGGCAAACAUUUGUCAGGGGAGCAGUCUCGGCGGCCGCACUGGUAGUGAGGGGCAGCACUGGGUUAGCUCGGGAUAGUGUGCACCCGUGGAGGGGCGAAUCGAGGGCGGAGGGGGCCGGUAGCCCUGCGGCCACGAGCAACAACGGAGCCAUGCCGCUCGGUGGCGAGCACGUUCCGAUGCUGUCAAUCUGGCUGGGAAGGCCGCGGCCGCGGCAACUGGCCGGCCGUCGAGUUGCGUCGGGCCCGUGUUGUCACAAGGCCGGCCACGGUUCGGUGGAAGGCGGGCUGUAGUUUGCUGGUCACACACGCUGGCUCGCUGGGCAGCGACGCAACACGACCUCGACGGCGGCCAGGAUGCCGAGAGGGAGGCGGAAGGUGGGGUGGGAGGGGGCGUCGCGUUGCGCUGGACCCAGAGCACGCCGGGAGGAUUAGGGAGGUGCAGGAGUCACCGGCGGUCGGGUUCGCGAGAAUUCAGGAUGGUUCGGAUCGACGAUGAAGCGGGUGAAAGACCUGCACAGACCCGCACCAAACUUCAUUGACGGACCAGAUUGGCUGAUAGCUCGAUCCGACGGUUAACGAGUUCUCGGGUGACGUGGCAAGCUGGUUUGCCGGCUUUUGGUGCAGGAUUCGUAUAUGGAGAUGACAUCAUGCCAAUGCGAAGCAAUGGGAGGCAAAGUGGUUGAUGCUGACAACUAGCCAAUGCGGAACUCUGGCAAGUGACUGGGUUAGUAGGAGGAUGGCAAAAAUAGAGGUGGUCAUGGGGAGGCGAAAGUAGAGAGAGUAUAAAAGAGAGAUUGUUGCACCGAUUUGUACUUUUAUUCUAUUAUAUCAUGUAUCUAACUAUUUGCUUGGGUACUUUAGAAUACGAACAUGGUGCAUGAAUAUUUUUCACAUCAAAGAAUAUGUCUUUAUUGUUGUAUGUACAAAUAUUUCAUAUGAUGAAAAUUGAUGCUCCUUUU